rnacentral:rRNA from 1 species
GGGCUGCUCCUAGUACGAGAGGACCGGAGUGGACGCAUCACUGGUGUUCGGGUUGUCAUGCCAAUGGCACUGCCCGGUAGCUAAAUGCGGAAGAGAUAAGUGCUGAAAGCAUCUAAGCACGAAACUUGCCCCGAGAUGAGUUCUCCCUGAGACUUAAAGUCUCCUGAAGGAACGUUGAAGACGACGACGUUGAUAGGUCGGGUGUGUAAGCGCAGCGAUGCGUUGAGCUAACCGAUACUAAUGAACCGUGAGGCUUAACCUUACAACGCCGAAG